GAUGAACGCUGGCGGCGUGCCUAAUACAUGCAAGUCGAGCGAACAGACGAGGAGCUUGCUCCUCUGACGUUAGCGGCGGACGGGUGAGUAACACGUGGAUAACCUACCUAUAAGACUGGGAUAACUUCGGGAAACCGGAGCUAAUACCGGAUAAUAUAUUGAACCGCAUGGUUCAAUAGUGAAAGACGGUUUUGCUGUCACUUAUAGAUGGAUCCGCGCCUCAUUAGCUAGUUGGUAAGGUAACGGCUUACCAAGGCAACGAUGCGUAGCCGACCUGAGAGGGUGAUCGGCCACACUGGAACUGAGACACGGUCCAGACUCCUACGGGAGGCAGCAGUAGGAAAUCUUCCGCAAUGGGCGAAAGCCUGGCGGAGCAACGCCGCGUGAGUGAUGAAGGUCUUCGGAUCGUAAAACUCUGUUAUUAGGGAAGAACAAAUGUGUAAGUAACUAUGCACGUCUUGACGAUACCUAAUCAGAAAGCCACGGCUAACUACGUG
rnacentral:rRNA from 1 species